UUAGAGAUUCCUUUGAAGCGCUUUGUACUGAAUACUGCCAGAGAAAAGGUUUUGGACCAAAUGAAUCCGGACCGGCCUAUGCAGCUUCAGUGGCUACCACCACCUGAAGGUGCUGUCCCCACUGUCUUUCAAUCCACCUUGGACCUGAAUCCACUGAUUCCGGUUCACUUUGGUUGCAGUGAUCUGAACAGAGGAUGAAACUAAACAUAACAGCCAUGCAAAAUAUGCCACAUAGGUUGUGCAACCAUGCAAUACUACCGUCAAUCAGCAGGAGGAAUAAAAUAAGCUCUGCAAA